rnacentral:rRNA from 1 species
CCUACGGGUGGCAGCAGUGGGGGAUAUUGCACAAUGGGGGAAACCCUGAUGCAGCGACGCCGCGUGUGGGAAGACGGUCCUCUGGAUUGUAAACCACUGUCCCCAGGGACGAAGAUGACGGUACCUGGGGCGGACGCUCCGGCUAACUACGUGCCAGCAGCCGCGGUCAUACGUAGGGAGCGAGCGUUGUCCGGAAUUACUGGGUGUAAAGGGAGCGUAGGCGGGGAUGCAAGUUGGGGGUCAAAACUACCGGCUCAACUGGUAGUCGCACUCAAAACUGCAGCUCUUGAGUGAAGUAGAGGCAGGCGGAAUGCCUAGUGUAGCGGUGAAAUGCGUAGAUAUUAGGAGGAACACCAGUGGCGAAGGCGGCCUGCUGGGCUGUGACUGACGCUGAGGCUCGAAAGUGUGGGGAGCAAACAGGAUUAGAUACCCGGGUAGUC